rnacentral:rRNA from 1 species
UCUAGAGGCUUCGGCAAUGGGGGAAACCCUGACCGAGCGACGCCGCGUGUGGGAUGAAGCCCUUCGGGGUGUAAACCGCUGUCAGUAGGGAAGAAUACCGGAAAGGUGAUUUCCGGGGAGACGGUACCUGCAGAGGAAGCCACGGCUAACUCCGUGCCAGCAGCCGCGGUAAGACGGAGGUGGCAAGCGUUAUUCGGAUUCAUUGGGCGUAAAGGGCGCGUAGGCGGCUUGGUAAGUCUGAUGUGAAAUCUCCAUCGCUCAACGAGGAGACGGCAUCGGAUACUGCCAAUCUUGAGUGCAGAAGAGGUAAGUGGAAUUCCUGGUGUAGCGGUGGAAUGCGUAGAUAUCAGGAGGAACACCGGUGGCGAAGGCGGCUUACUGGUCUGCUACUGACGCUGAGGCGCGAAAGCGUGGGGAGCAAACAGG